rnacentral:rRNA from 1 species
AGUACCGUGAGGGAAUGGUGAAAAGUACCCCGGGAGGGGAGUGAAAUAGUACCUGAAACCGUGUGCUUACAAGCCGUUGGAGCCUUUUGGGGUGACAGCGUGCCUUUUGAAGAAUGAGCCUGCGAGUUAGUGUUAUGUCGCGAGGUUAACCCGUGUGGGGUAUCCGUAGCGAAAGCGAGUCUGAAUAGGGCGUUUGAGUGGCAUGACCUAGACCCGAAGCGGAGUGAUCUAUCCAUGGCCAGGUUGAAGCGACGGUAAGACGUCGUGGAGGACCGAACCCACUUCAGUUGAAAAUGGAGGGGAUGAGCUGUGGAUAGGGGUGAAAGGCCAAUCAAACUCUGUGAUAGCUGGUUCUCCCCGAAAUGCAUUUAGGUGCAGCGUUACGUGUUUCUUGCCGGAGGUAGAGCUACUGGAUGGCCGAUGGGCCUUCACGGGUUACUGACGUCAGCUAAACUCCGAAUGCCGGUAAGUGAGAGCGUAGCAGUGAGACAGUGGGGGAUAAGCUUCAUUGUCGAGAGGGAAACAGCCCAGACCACCAACUAAGGCCCCUAAGCGUGUGCUAAGUGGGAAAGGAUGUGGAGUUGCUUAGACAACCAGGAGGUUGGCUUAGAAGCAGCCAUCCUUGAAAGAGUGCGUAAUAGCUCACUGGUCAAGUGAUUCUGCGCCGAUAAUGUAGCGGGGCUCAAGUACACCGCCGAAGUUGUGGCAAUGAUCUUUUUGGAUUGUUGGGUAGGGGAGCGUCGUGUGGCCGUUGAAGCUGCGGUGUAAACCAGUGGUGGAGGCUAUGCGAGUGAGAAUGCAGGCAUGAGUAGCGAAAGAUGAGUGAGAAACUCAUCCGCCGGAUGAUCAAGGGUUCCAGGGUCAAGUUAAUCUGCCCUGGGUUAGUCGGGGCCUAAGGCGAGGCCGACAGGCGUAGUCGAUGGAUAACGGGUUGAUAUUCCCGUACCGGUGAAAAACCGCCCAUACUGAUAUUGUGAUGCUAACCAUGCGAAGCAUGAUGUGCAGGCUUUUGUUUGUGUGUUGUGUGGGUUGUGGGACCCGAUCUUUGGAGGUAAACGUGUUAACAGGUGUGACGCAGGAAGGUAGCCAAGCCACGCGAUGGUUGUCGUGGUCUAAGCGUGUAGGGUUGUCGGUUGUUAAAUGCGCCGGCUGUGUGCCUGAGACGUGAUGGGACCCCGUUUUUGGGGGAUUUGGUGAUCCUAUGCUGCCGAGAAAAGCAUCGGCGUGAGGUUUUAGCCGCCCGUACCCUAAACCGACACAGGUGAUCAGGUAGAGAAUACUAAGGCGAUCGAGAGAAUCAUGGUUAAGGAACUCGGCAAAAUGCCCCCGUAACUUCGGGAGAAGGGGGACCUUGAGCGUGAUGGGCACUUGCUGCCUGGAGCGUGUAUGGGUCGCAGAGACCAGGGGGAAGCGACUGUUUAUCAAAAACACAGGUCCGUGCGAAGUCGUAAGACGAUGUAUACGGACUGACUCCUGCCCGGUGCUGGAAGGUUAAGAGGAUUGGUUAGCCUUUUUUGGCGAAGCUGAGAAUUUAAGCCCCAGUAAACGGCGGUGGUAACUAUAACCAUCCUAAGGUAGCGAAAUUCCUUGUCGGGUAAGUUCCGACCUGCACGAAUGG